ensembl:antisense Gm12144 uncharacterized LOC110332568
AUCUGAAUUAGAGAAGAGGGCAGUUCACAGUACUGAAGUAGUGAUGCAGUUGCUAAGGAUCUGCUCCUUUCAUCUUUGUCUCUGAGAUCUGAUCUGAUGUAUCCCAGAUUGGCCUAGACCUUUCUGUGUAGCUGAUCCAGGUCAGGUCAAUCCUGCUCAGAUACUACCCACAUUCCAGCAUGAUAGGUACCUAUGGAAAGAGUCAUGACGCUCAACUUGUCUCGCACCAGCUUGACAAUCAUACUCUUCUGCAGUGGGGUGGAGCGGCAACACAGGACAGACCGACAAUACUGAGUCAACUCCAGGAACUUAUUCUCCAGCUUUCCCUGGAAAAUUGCAUUCAGUGUCUUCCCAUCAAUGACCAGUCCAAUUGCAGGAGCCAUAGCUCCCGAGUUAACAGAUGGCAUCUUAGGUGGGAUGAGGUGCCCACAGAGUUUUCUGGCUGGCUGCUGUGGUUCAUGAAAUCUCUUUAUGUCUUCCAAUGCACAAUUGAGGAUGGACUCACAGGUUUCCUGCAGAGUGUCAUAUAAUAAAGUGUUAGUAAGCAGCCUUGAAUGCUAAAACUGUACCUUUAUUUUUAGUAAGAUAAUUAUAAAACUCUGUCAUAUAAGUUAUUCAGGAAUUUUCCCUCUAAGUUCAUUGCUCAUUUCUCUGCAGUAUUUGAAGCAGCAUUAAACCAUACUAAUUUCUGAGACAUUAGUGGCCAGAAUAGGAGAAGGUGAUUAGAAGUGGAAGUGGCUGUUGCAAGACGGCAACUGAGUUGGGCUGGGUGUAGGAUAGAAAUCAGUACUAAUAUGUUGGUAGACACUGACAACAUUUCAUGCUGUUAUAGGAGCUGUUUUCUGUCUCUUACAGGCCUUUCCAGUUCCCUGUUGUGCCUUUACACAUUGUUGUAGGUAUCCCCGGUCUUGGUUUAGAGAUCAGGAGGUUGAAACGAUGAGGAACUUAGUACUUUAUGUCAGCCAAAUAGUAGUGAGGCAGGAGCCUUACUUUUUCAAAUGUGGCUUCCUAACUUGGAAAGAAAUCCAUCACUCUGGGUAAGAUCUAUUGGUCUAUUCCACAGAGGUCUAAAGAACUGUGCUAUACAGCGUUUUUCAUGUUGGUCUGAACUGACCAUGAAUGUGAAAUUAUUACUGGUUCAAAGAGUCUUCUUUGUGAUCAUUUUUUCUACUUUGAGAUGGUCUUUUGAUAUAGUCCAGGUUGGCCUUGAAUUAGUGAUAUUACUGUUCCUCUUUUCAAGUGAUUAAAGAUGUACCACUAUCAUGUUAGUUUUAUGAUUUUUUAAAAUAAAUGAUGCCAUUU